UUGGGGCCCCUCCUCCCCGCCCUUGGGCCUGAGUCACCCACUUCAGACCAGGAACAGUGUGUAAAUACUUGGCUGCUAGGCCCCAGAGCCAACGGCCUCUGGAUUCAGAUGCAGAUUUACAGAGCUGUUUUUUUUGGUUCCCAGAGCUGAGAGAAAAUACGCUGGGGCCUCAGAAGCAGAGGGGGAAGGGGAGGGUCCCUGGGACAAAGCCUGGAGGGGGCUUGUCUGAAAGAGAUGGAACCACCAGUCCCUGGCUGUGCUUCGCAGACAACCACCAGUCUCCUGCCUGCCAAUGAGCUGGUGUUAGUUGACUGGUGCCUCUACCCAAGACUCCCCAGUUUGUUUUUUGAGAGCCCAGGACCCUCCGACAUCCUCUAGGACUUCUAGAAUGGAGGACAGAGGUGUUUGUAGAGUCAAGGCACUAACACGUCUCCAGACGGAGGGAAUGUUUUCUGCUGAAGGCUCACAACCAGGUGUGGUCCUCUGCUGAAGGAAGCUAUCCCACCCGAGGUGUGAAAACGAAGUUUCUGCCCUGGCUAGGCAACAGUGGGGCUGGGCUUCGUGUCCAAGCAGUCUUCAGGCUCAUGCCUCCCAUUUCAGUGCCCACUGCCUCCCCUGAACGGGGUGUGAGGAAACAAAGGAGGGCUUGGUCUGUAGGGAACUGAGGUCACAUGAUCUGAGACUCAACUGCAAGUUGUGUGGAUCAUCCUCCGAAGGCCAAUCCAGACAUCUGAGCAACCCUAGCAAGGAUGAGACCCAGACCCUUCACCCCAUCUGUGCCUGACAUAAACUACAGUUACUCUGAGGAGAGGAACCAACCAAAUGGAUUGCUUUCUACCCUCCAGGGAAUCCAUGACUCAAAGUAAAAAUUAAAUUCAGUACCAGAAAAGUAAAGAAGAAAAUCAUUUCUUAGGUCUCUCACUUAGUAGGCUGAGGAAAAGGAAGAAAGCAAACACUAUUUGAAUAUCUACUCUAGCCCAGGUAUACCGAGCCUCCCCACAGCAGCAAGGGUUAAUAAUUCCCCCUCCAUGUUAACUGAGCACCACCAGGAGCAGAGGUCGAGGCACAUGUGGAGCCAGAAUCCAAACCUAGAUCUGUCCAGUGGAAAAACACAGGGCAUUUCCACCAAGCCAUGAAGCUGGUUAUUAGAGGUCAAGUUGCCCAUGGCCACCAUCUUACAGAUGAGGACACUCAGCUCAGAGAUGAAGUGCAGACUCUUGGCUGCUGCUCAUCCCCUCUCCCAGUGCCUCCGACUGGCUCCACAGAAGAUAUAAGACUCCAGAAUCUCCUCUCAUUCCGUACAAGUGACUCCUCUCAGUUUGCAACUUCUGGCACCGCCUUAUCUCAGAUUUUGAUAAAGGGAGCUUUGCUGAAAACCUCUUGGCGCUUGUUCAGUAGAGGAAUUUUUAAAAUCUAAAUAGCUUUAUUAGGGUACCAUUGGCAUGCAAUAAAUUGCAUAUUGACAUACAAUAAAAUGCCCAUUUAAACUGUGUAAGUGUCCAUCACUUACACCACUAGCACACUGGAGACUGAAAAUAUCCAUCCCCACCAAGUUUCCUGGUGCCUCUCCUUUGUGAUCCCCCUCUCUCCCUCCUCCCCCAAAGCAACUGAUGAUCUGCUUUCCAUCACUAUAGAUUAGUUGCAUUUUGUAGACUUCCGUAGAAAUGGAUUCACACAGCAGUACUCUUUUUAGUCUGGAUUCUUUUACUCAAAAUAAUUAUUUUGAGAUUCAUCAAUGUUUGUCAGUGUGUCAAUAACUCAUUCCUGUGUAUUGCUGGGUAAUGUGUUGUAACCAUUGCUGGUUUAUCCAUUCACUUAUUGAUGAACAUUUGGGCUGUCUGCUAUGAACAUCGUGUACAUGGUGUUGGACAUAUGUCUUCUUUUUUCCUAAGUAAAUACCUAGGAAUGGAGUGGAUGGAUUGUAUGGUAAGUACACCUAACUUUUAAAAAUACUAUUAAAUCAUUUUUAAAAAUAACUUGCAACAUUUUACAUUUCCAGCAGAACUGGGAGUUCCACUUUUCCACAUCCUGGCCAGCACUUCAUAUGGUUCGUCUUUUUAAUUUUAGCCUUUCUAGUAGGCAUGUAGUGUUACCUCACUGUGGUUUUAAUUUGCAUUUAUUUCCCUAGUGUCUAAUGAUGUUGAAUAUCUUUUCAUGUGUUUAUUUGCCAUCCUUAUAUCUUUGGCAAAGUGUCUGUUCAAACUUUCGGCCCAUUUUUACAUUGGGUUGUUUGUUAAUUGCUGAGUUUUAAGAGUUCUUUAUAUAUCCUGGAUACAAGUUUUUUUCAGAUGUAUGCCUUCUAAAGAUUUCCUCACUGAUUAUGUAUAUCUUCUCAUUCUCUUAACAGAAUCUUUUGAAGAUCAGAGCUUUUAAUUUUGAUGAAAUAUAAUUUUCAAUUUGUUAUUUUAUGGAUCAUGCAUUGUGUUAUAUGCAAGAAAUCUUUGCCUAACCCAAGGUAACAGAUCUGCUAUGCUUUCAUCUAGAAGUUUUAUACAUUUAGGUCUGCAAUCUAAUUUAAGCUAGUAUUUAUAUAUGGUUCAAGUUAUAGAUCUGAGUUCAUUUUUUUUCAUGUGGGUGUAUAAUUGUUCCAGCACCUUUUGCUGAAAAGACAAUUCUUGGGGCACCUGGCUGGCUCAGUUGGUUAAACAUGUGACUCUUGAUUUCAGGUCAGGUCAUGAUCUCAGGGUCCUGAGAUGGAGCCCUGAGUCAGUCUCUGUGCUCAG